CUUUGACUUAGCGAUGCCUUUCCUGAUGGAGGAAACAGUGACCCAGCACCACCUAACGCCCCCAAACCAAAGCCAGAUCCAAACCCCAACCGACCUGGUUUCACUGGGGCUGACUUUGACUUAGCAGAUGCCUUUGGUGAUGGAGGAAACAGUGACCCAGCACCACCUAAUGCCCCCAAACCAAAGCCACAUCCAAAUCCCAACUGACCUGGUUUCACUGAUAAGAGCCUCUAACCCUACGGGGUGGUCUCUAUGUUGUUUACCUGGCAGUGAUGUCCGUGUCAUCUGAGAAGAGGCGAUUUCAGGGGCUGACUUGGACUUAGCAGAUGCCUUUCGUGAUGGAGGAAAUAAUGACCGAGCACCUCCUAAUUCACCCAAGCUGAAGCCAAAUGCGAACCCUGAGCAGCCUGGAUUCAUCGGU
rnacentral:lncRNA from 1 species